UAGAGUUUAGAGACUUUGGUCUACUACUCCACCCUUUGUUUACAAUACCAUUGUUGCUUUGGCAGGCCUGUUGAAAGACAACUGGCUUUAGCUGGUUAGCGCCUGCCAGAGGACCUAAAACUCAUGUUUAUAUUAUUGUCCGAGUACUAUAUAAUAGUUA
rnacentral:misc_RNA from 1 species